AUGAACGCUGGCGGCGUGCCUAAUACCUGCAAGUCGAGCGAACAGACGAGGAGCUUGCUCCUCUGACGUUAGCGGCGGACGGGUGAGUAACGCGUGGAUAACCUACCUAUAAGACUGGGAUAACUUCGGGAAACCGGAGCUAAUACCGGAUAAUAUAUUGAACCGCAUGGUUCAAUAGUGAAAGACGGUUUUGCUGUCACUUAUAGAUGGAUCCGCGCCGCAUUAGCUAGUUGGUAAGGUAACGGCUUACCAAGGCGACGAUGCGUAGCCGACCUGAGAGGGUGAUCGGCCACACUGGAACUGAGACACGGUCCAGACUCCUACGGGAGGCAGCAGUAGGGAAUCUUCCGCAAUGGGCGAAAGCCUGACGGAGCAACGCCGCGUGAGUGAUGAAGGUCUUCGGAUCGUAAAACUCUGUUAUUAGGGAAGAACAAAUGUGUAAGUAACUAUGCACGUCUUGACGGUACCUAAUCAGAAAGCCACGGCUAACUACGUG
rnacentral:rRNA from 1 species